GCUAGGCAGUCACCACAGGAAAGCAGAAAGGGCAUCUCUCAAGGGUUGCAUACCUUCCUGGUCCAAUAAGAAUAUGAGAGUCAAAUGCAGCUUCUACUUCUCCCAGGCAUUUCAAAUUAGUGCCUUGCUGUGUGAUAGUGAGUUCUUUGCUCAACCCCUCUGGACUCUCACCAUUUCAUCCCAUUCUUUAUUCCCCAGACCAACUCCAGGCUGAUAGGAAAAAAGAUGAAAACAGAUUCUUCAAAAGCAUGAAUAAAAAUGACAUGAAGAGCUGGGGCUUGUUACAGAAAAAUAAUCAUAAAAUGAACAAAACCUCAGAGCCCGGGUCAUCUUCUGCAGGUAAGAGUCCUGUCUCUGAAUACUAAGGGACCUCUAAGUCUACAGGUGGUCAAAAUGCUGUAUCCACCCAAUUCCACUAAAUGGAAUAAAUGAAUAAAUGAAUGAAUUCAUUUAUUCCAUUUCCUCAGUUCCUCCCCAAAUUACACCUCUGCCAGGAAACAGAGGGCGCUC
rnacentral:lncRNA from 1 species